rnacentral:rRNA from 1 species
CCUACGGGAGGCUGCAGUCGAGAAUCUUUCACAAUGGGGGAAACCCUGAUGGAGCGACGCCGCGUGGGGGAAUGAAGGCCUUCGGAUUGUAAACUCCUGUCAUGUGGGAGCAAAUUAAAAAGAUAGUACCACAAGAGGAAGAGACUGCUAACUCUGUGCGAGCAGCCGCGGUAAUACAGAGGUCUUAAGCGGGGUUAGGAGUCACUGGGCGUAAAGGGUUAGUAGGCUGUUUCGUAAGUCGUGUGUGAAAGGCGCGGGCUCAACCGGCGGCCAGCACUUGAUACUGGGAAACUGGAGUAAGGUAGGGGUAAGCGGAAUGCGAGGUGGAGCGGUGAAAUGCGUAGAUAUGAGGAAGAACACCGAGGGCGAAGGCAGCUUACGGGACCUAAACUGACGCUGAGGCACGAAAGCGUGGGGAGCAAAGAGGAUUAGAUACCCGGGUAGUC